CAAGGAAGGCAGCAGGCACGCAAAUUACCCAAUCCCAGCUCUGGGAGGUAGUGACGAAAAAUAACAAUGCGGGACUCUUCCGAGUCUGCGUAAUUGGAAUGAGCACACUUUAAAUCCUUUAGCAACAACCAAUUGGAGGGCAAGUCUGGUGCCAGCAGCCGCGGUAAUUCCAGCUCCAAUAGCGUAUAUUAAAGUUGUUGCGGUUAAAAAGCUCGUAGUUUGAAUUCAGUUGCGGACUGGUGUGGGAAGUCACCGCCCGGUGCUUCCCCGUCAGGCUCCGAACAGCUUCCUUUGUUGGAAGCCAAGCUGGUUCUGCCAGGGUGCUCUUUACCGAGUGUCUUGUGCGGCCGGCCAGUUCACCUUGAAUAAAUGAGAGUGCUCAAAGCAGGCUACUCUGGAAUACAAUGCCCGAAUGUUAACUGCAUGGAAUGAUGGAAGAUGAUCUCGGUUCCAUUUUGUUGGUGGUGGGAGCCAGAGGUAAUGAUAAAGAGGGACUGUCGGGGGCAUCCGUACUACGACGCGAGAGGUGAAAUUCAGUGACCGUCGUAGGACGAACAACAGCGAAAGCAUUUGCCAAGAAUGUCUUCGUUGAUCAAGAACGAAAGUUAGAGGAUCGAAGGCGAUCAGAUACCGCCCUAGUUCUAACCCUAAACGAUGCUGACUAGCAAUUCGCCGUCGUUAUUCCCAUGACGUGGCGGGACGCCCCCGGGAAACCUCAAGUUUUUGAGUUCCGGGGGUAGUAUGGUUGCAAAAGUGAAACUUAAAGGAAUUGACGGAAGGGCACCACCAGGAGUGGAGCCUGCGGCUUAAUUUGACUCAACACGGGAAAGCUCACCAGGCCCGGACACCAGAAGGAUUGACAGAUUAAGAGCUCUUUCUCGAUUUGUGGGUGGUGGUGCAUGGCCGUUCUUAGUUGGUGGAGUGAUUUGUCUGGUUAAUUCCGGUAACGAACGAGACUCUGGCCUACUAAAUAGUGGACGGGCGUUUUGGUGCAUGGGCCCCGUUCGACACUGUCUUCUUAGAGGGAUGAGCAGCGAGUAUAGCUGCAGGAGAUUGAGCAAUAACAGGUCUGUGAUGCCCUUAGAUGUCCUGGGCCGCAUGCGCGCUACACUGAAUGGGUUAGCGGGUUGUCCUUCUCCGAGAGGAGCGGGAAAUCGCUUGAAAACCAUUCGUGAUAGGGAUUGGGGCUUGCAAUUGUUUCCCAUGAACGAGGAAUUCCCAGUAAGCGCAAGUCAUCAGCUUGCGUUGAUUAAGUCCCUGCCCUUUGUACACACCGCCCGUCGCUACUACCGAUUGAAUGAUUUAGUGAGGCCUUCGGACUGGCGGUCUUGGACUGGUUUGACUGGUUUGUCCCAGCAUUGGGGUGCCAUCGACUCGCCUAGACGGGCCGGAAAGAUGACCAAACUUGAUCAUUUAAAGGAAGUAAAAGUCGUAACAAGGUUUCC
rnacentral:rRNA from 1 species